CUGCUUCUGUCAUCCGUCGUCGCGUGGUAAUUUUUUAGAAAAGCCCCUGAUGUUUUUGCUAUUCAACCCGCAGUAUGUUUUUAAGUUGAAUAACGUUUCGUUUACACAUUUUGCAAGGCAAACCCUGUGGUUUCCUAUAUUCAACAUGCGGUCCUUUUGAAGUGAAAAAACAUGAAAACAUAUGGAUCUGGCCGAGGUAUCGAGAGAUCCGGCGGGUGGUGCGGCGGCUUGCUCCGGUGGCGGCGGUGUCC
rnacentral:lncRNA from 1 species